rnacentral:rRNA from 1 species
UACAGAGGUCUCAAGCGUUGUUCGGAUUCAUUGGGCGUAAAGGGUGCGUAGGCGGCGCGGUAAGUCGGGUGUGAAAUCUUGGAGCUUAACUCCGAAACUGCAUUCGAUACUGCCGUGCUUGAGGACUGGAGAGGAGACUGGAAUUUACGGUGUAGCGGUGAAAUGCGUAGAUAUCAGGAGGAAUACCGGUGGUGCAGACGGCUCUCUGGACCGCAACUGACGCUGAGACACGAAAGCGUGGGUAGCAAACAGG